GACGAACGCUGGCGGCGUGCCUAAUACAUGCAAGUAGAACGCUGAAGGAGGAGCUUGCUUCUCAGGAUGAGUUGCGAACGGGUGAGUAACGCGUAGGUAACCUGCCUGGUAGCGGGGGAUAACUAUUGGAAACGAUAGCUAAUACCGCAUAAUAUUGACUAUUGCAUGAUAGUCAAUUAAAAGGUGCAAUUGCAUCACUACCAGAUGGACCUGCGUUGUAUUAGCUAGUUGGUGAGGUAACGGCUCACCAAGGCGACGAUACAUAGCCGACCUGAGAGGGUGAUCGGCCACACUGGGACUGAGACACGGCCCAGACUCCUACGGGAGGCAGCAGUAGGGAAUCUUCGGCAAUGGACGGAAGUCUGACCGAGCAACGCCGCGUGAGUGAAGAAGGUUUUCGGAUCGUAAAGCUCUGUUGUAAGAGAAGAACGAGUGUGAGAGUGGAAAGUUCACACNGNGACGGU
rnacentral:rRNA from 1 species